UACGAAGGGGGCUAGCGUUGUUCGGAAUCACUGGGCGUAAAGCGCACGCAGGCGGAUUGAUAAGUCAGGGGUGAAAUCCCGGGGCUCAACCUCGGAAUUGCCUUUGAUACUGUCUAUCUUGAGUUCGGGAGAGGUUGGCGGAAUUCCUAGUGUAGAGGUGAAAUUCGUAGAUAUUAGGAAGAACACCAGUGGCGAAGGCGGCCAACUGGCCCGAUACUGACGCUCAUGUGCGAAAGCGUGGGGAGCAAACAGGGAUUAGAAGUACCCGU
rnacentral:rRNA from 1 species